rnacentral:rRNA from 1 species
GAUGUGUACAUAUUUUAAUUAAAAAUCAUUUUAUUAAAUUAAAUAAAAUUACAUUUAAAUCCAAUUUCUAUUAAAUAUUACAAUUUAUAAUCCAAAAAUAAAUUUAUUGUAAUCCAUUAUAUUCUUAAAUAUAAACUUCAUCUUGAUCUGAUUUAAUUUAUUUUUUAAAUUUUAAAAUAUUAAAUUUUAUAAAAAAUAUUUUUUUAACAACGAUAUAUAAAUUUUUAAUUUAAGUAAAUUUAUUCGUGGAUUAUCAAUUAUUAAACAGAUUCCUCUAAAUUUACUAAAAUACCGCCAAAUAAUUUAAAUUUCAAUAAAUAAUUAUUUACUAAUUU